rnacentral:rRNA from 1 species
UGGGGAAUUUUGGACAAUGGGCGAAAGCCUGAUCCAGCAAUGCCGCGUGUGUGAAGAAGGCCUUCGGGUUGUAAAGCACUUUUGUCCGGAAAGAAAUCCUCUGGGUUAAUACCUCGGGAGAAUGACGGUACCGGAAGAAUAAGCACCGGCUAACUACGUGCCAGCAGCCGCGGUAAUACGUAGGGUGCAAGCGUUAAUCGGAAUUACUGGGCGUAAAGCGUGCGCAGGCGGUUUUGUAAGACGGAUGUGAAAUCCCCGGGGCUUAACCUGGGAACUGCAUUCGUGACUGCAAGGCUAGAGUAUGGCAGAGGGGGGUAGAAUUCCACGUGUAGCAGUGAAAUGCGUAGAGAUGUGGAGGAAUACCGAUGGCGAAGGCAGCCCCCUGGGCCAAUACUGACGCUCAUGCACGAAAGCGUGGGGAGCAAACAGGAUUAGAUACCCUGGUAGUCCACGCCCUAAACGAUGUCAACUAGUUGUUGGGGAUUCAUUUCCUUAGUAACGUAGCUAACGCGUGAAGUUGACCGCCUGGGGGAGUACGGUCGCAAGAUUAAAACUUAAAGGAAUUGACGGGGUCAUAGCUGUUUCCU